UUACGGACAGUGCCUGGUGGGUAGUUUGACUGGGGCGGUCUCCUCCCAAAGAGUAACGGAGGAGCACGAAGGUGGGCUAAUCACGGUCGGACAUCGUGAGGUUAGUGCAAUGGCAUAAGCCCGCUUGACUGCGAGAAUGACAAUUCGAGCAGGUGCGAAAGCAGGUCAUAGUGAUCCGGUGGUUCUGAAUGGAAGGGCCAUCGCUCAACGGAUAAAAGGUACUCCGGGGAUAACAGGCUGAUACCGCCCAAGAGUUCAUAUCGACGGCGGUGUUUGGCACCUCGAUGUCGGCUCAUCACAUCCUGGGGCUGAAGUCGGUCCCAAGGGUAUGGCUGUUCGCCAUUUAAAGUGGUACGCGAGCUGGGUUUAGAACGUCGUGAGACAGUUCGGUCCCUAUCUGCCGUGGGCGUUGGAUGAUUGAGAGGGGCUGCUCCUAGUACGAGAGGACCGGAGUGGACGAACCGCUGGUGUUCGGGUUGUAUCGCCAGAUGCAUUGCCCGGUAGCUAAGUUCGGAAUCGAUAACCGCUGAAAGCAUCUAAGCGGGAAGCGAGCCUCAAGAUGAGUCAUCCCUAGACCUUUAAGGUCUCUAAAGGGUUGUUGAAGACUACAACGUUGAUAGGU
rnacentral:rRNA from 1 species